GGCUCAGGACGAACGCUGGCGGCGCGCCUAACACAUGCAAGUCGAACGGAGCAUUGAGAGCUUGCUUUUAAUGCUUAGUGGCGAACGGGUGAGUAACGCGUGAGUAACCUGCCCUGGAGUGGGGGACAACAGUUGGAAACGACUGCUAAUACCGCAUAAGCCCACGAUCCGGCAUCGGAUUGAGGGAAAAGGAUUUAUUCGCUUCAGGAUGGACUCGCGUCCAAUUAGCUAGUUGGUGAGGUAACGGCCCACCAAGGCGACGAUUGGUAGCCGGACUGAGAGGUUGAACGGCCACAUUGGGACUGAGACACGGCCCAGACUCCUACGGGAGGCAGCAGUGGGGGAUAUUGCACAAUGGGGGAAACCCUGAUGCAGCGACGCCGCGUGGAGGAAGAGGGUUUUCGGAUUGUAAACUCCUGUCGCUAGGGACGAUAAUGACGGUACCUAACAAGAAAGCACCGGCUAACUAUGUGCCAGCCGCCGCGGUAAAACGUAGGGUGCAAGCGUUGUCCCGGAAUUACUGGGUGUAAAGGGAGCGCAGGCGGACCGGCAAGUUGGAAGUGAAAACUAUGGGCUCAACCCAUAAAUUGCUUUCAAAACUGCUGGCCUUGAGUAGUGCAGAGGUAGGUGGAAUUCCCGGUGUAGCGGUGGAAUGCGUAGAUAUCGGGAGGAACACCAGUGGCGAAGGCGACCUACUGGGCACCAACUGACGCUGAGGCUCGAAAGCAUGGGUAGCAAACAGGAUUAGAUACCCUGGUAGUCCAUGCCGUAAACGAUGAUUAAUGGGUGUUGGAGGAUUGACCCCUUCAGGGGAGCAGUUAACACAAUAGUUAUCCACCCUGGGGAGUGCGACCGCGAGGUUGAGACUCUAAGGAAUUGACGGGAGCCCGCACAAGCAGUGGGGUAUGUGGGUUAA
rnacentral:rRNA from 1 species